AAGAAUCUAUUACAGUCACGGAUAAAUAAACCUCCAUUGAUUUUGUCUAGGCUACAACAGAAGUCCCAUUUUGCGACUUCAGUCUCAAAAGAGUGAUAGCAUGGGAGCUUCAACUAUGACUAGCAAGAUCAGUACUGUCUCUGCUGCAGCAAUUAAAGGAUUGAGUAACACAAAGCCAUUGCCCAAGAGGGGACAGAUCAAGUCAAGAAUAGCAUAUACUGCUCUACAUUCCAUUCUUAGUAUGCUCUCGAGAGCCGCUUCCAAUCACUAACAGCAUGUUUCUUUCAAAGUAUUGGAAAUAUGGCUGCACAAAGAAAUCAAUGUAUUUUAAAAUUUUCUUUCUAAUCUUGUUCAGUGUUGUUCAUUUGGAAGGACCCAACACCAAGGGAUAGAGUAUAAGAAAGCUUUGUAGUACAUGAGCUUUAAGUAUUAUGGUUCUUUCAUUACUUGUAUUUUUUGUUCUUUCUAAAAUAUAAUAUUUUCAAUCUAAA
rnacentral:lncRNA from 1 species